rnacentral:rRNA from 1 species
CCUACGGGUGGCAGCAGUGGGGAAUAUUGGACAAUGGGGGGAACCCUGAUCCAGCCAUGCCGCGUGUGUGAAGAAGGCCCUCGGGUUGUAAAGCACUUUCAGUGAGGAAGAACGCCUGGUGGUUAAUACCCAUCAGGAAAGACAUCACUCACAGAAGAAGCACCGGCUAACUCCGUGCCAGCAGCCGCGGUAAUACGGAGGGUGCGAGCGUUAAUCGGAAUUACUGGGCGUAAAGCGCGCGUAGGUGGCUUGAUAAGCCGGUUGUGAAAGCCCCGGGCUCAACCUGGGAACGGCAUCCGGAACUGUCAAGCUAGAGUGCAGGAGAGGAAGGUAGAAUUCCCGGUGUAGCGGUGAAAUGCGUAGAGAUCGGGAGGAAUACCAGUGGCGAAGGCGGCCUUCUGGACUGACACUGACACUGAGGUGCGAAAGCGUGGGUAGCACACAGGAUUAGAUAUCCUGGUAGUC